GACGAACGCUGGCGGCGUGCUUAACACAUGCAAGUCGAGCGGUAAGGCCCUUUCGGGGGUACACGAGCGGCGAACGGGUGAGUAACACGUGGGUGACCUGCCCUCAGCUCUGGGAUAAGCCUGGGAAACCGGGUCUAAUACUGGAUAUGACUCCAUGACGCAUGUUGUGGGGUGGAAAGCCUUGUGCGGCUGAGGAUGGGCCCGCGGCCUAUCAGCUUGUUGGUGGGGUGANGGCCUACCAAGGCGACGACGGGUAGCCGGCCUGAGAGGGCGGACCGGCCACACUGGGACCGAGACACGGCCCAGACUCCUACGGGAGGCAGCAGGUGGGGAAUCUUGCGCAAUGGGCGAAAGCCUGACGCAGCGACGCCGCGUGAGGGAUGAC
rnacentral:rRNA from 1 species